CAGGACAGGUACAGCACAGGCAGCGACAGUGUGAGCUUUCCCCACACCACCCCGUCCAUAUGCCUCAACCCUGACUUGGAGGGACCACCUCUAGA
ensembl:misc_RNA